CCCCUCUCAGGGUCACACCUGGAGAGUUUCCAUUACUCCAGUAGUCUCAAUGAUGGGAGGGAGAGUCAAACAGAGGCCUACCCAUUCCAUUCCUAGCUUGGGCAGUAGCUAGUGAGUGGAAGACAAUCUGCUACAAGU